rnacentral:rRNA from 1 species
AGUGAACGCUGGCGGUAGGCCUAACACAUGCAAGUCGAACGGCAGCACAGGAGAGCUUGCUCUCUGGGUGGCGAGUGGCGGACGGGUGAGGAAUGCAUCGGAAUCUACUCUUUCGUGGAGGAUAACGUAGGGAAACUUACGCUAAUACCGCAUACGACCUACGGGUGAAAGCCGGGGACCUUCGGGCCUGGCGCGAAAGAAUGAGCCGAUGCCCGAUUAGCUAGUUGGCGGGGUAAGAGCCCACCAAGGCGACGAUCGGUAGCUGGUCUGAGAGGAUGAUCAGCCACACUGGAACUGAGACACGGUCCAGACUCCUACGGGAGGCAGCAGUGGGGAAUAUUGGACAAUGGGCGCAAGCCUGAUCCAGCCAUACCGCGUGGGUGAAGAAGGCCUUCGGGUUGUAAAGCCCUUUUGUUGGGAAAGAAAAGCAGUCGGUUAAUACCCGAUUGUUUCUGACGGUACCCAAAGAAUAAGCACCGGCUA